rnacentral:rRNA from 1 species
AUCUCUGGUCAUACCACCCUAAACAUGCCUGAUCUCGUCUGAUCUUGGAGGCUAAGCAAGGUUGGACCUGGUUAGUACUUAGAUGAGAGACAAAAAGAGAGAUACCACAGCACAAGAUCUU